rnacentral:rRNA from 1 species
UUGACCUCGGAUCAGGUAGGAAUACCCGCUGAACUUAAGCAUAUCAAUAAGCGGAGGAAAAGAAACCAACAGGGAUUGCCCUAGUAACGGCGAGUGAAGCGGCAACAGCUCAAAUUUGAAAUCUGGCUCUCGGGCCCGAGUUGUAAUUUGUAGAGGAUACUUUUGAUGCGGUGCCUUCCGAGUUCCCUGGAACGGGACGCCAUAGAGGGUGAGAGCCCCGUCUGGUUGGAUGCCAAAUCUCUGUAAAGUUCCUUCGACGAGUCGAGUAGUUUGGGAAUGCUGCUCUAAAUGGGAGGUAUAUGUCUUCUAAAGCUAAAUACCGGCCAGAGACCGAUAGCGCACAAGUAGAGUGAUCGAAAGAUGAAAAGCACUUUGAAAAGAGAGUUAAAAAGUACGUGAAAUUGUUGAAAGGGAAGCGUUUAUGACCAGACUUGGGCUUGGUUAAUCAUCUGGGGUUCUCCCCAGUGCACUUUUCCAGUCCAGGCCAGCAUCAGUUUUCGCCGGGGGAUAAAGACUUCGGGAAUGUGGCUCUCUUCGGGGA